CAGCCGCCACGGUAAUACGGAGGGAGCUAGCGUUAUUCGGAAUUACUGGGCGUAAAGCGCACGUAGGCGGCUUUGUAAGUUAGAGGUGAAAGCCUGGAGCUCAACUCCAGAAUUGCCUUUAAGACUGCAUCGCUUGAAUCCAGGAGAGGUGAGUGGAAUUCCGAGUGUAGACGUGAAAUUCGUAGAUAUUCGGAAGAACACCAGUGGCGAAGGCGGCUCACUGGACUGGUAUUGACGCCGAGGCACGAAAGCGUGGGGAGCAAACAGGAUUAGAUACCCCAGUAGUCCCUGUCUCUUAUAC
rnacentral:rRNA from 1 species